GACGACCUUAAUAUCUAGAGCUUAGCUCCGGCGACCUGAUAGUCCUAUUAGCCUGGGCAGUUUACCCUCACAACAAAAGGCAGAGCAAGAGGUAGCGCAUCCUCUCAACAGGGAAGAUAUGAGCGACCAGAGCGCAUACCCUAACCCGGCUCAAGGGUAUUACCAGGGUCCCCCUGCCAACACGACGGCCGGUCAGGACAACGCGACGGCCGGCGGCAAGCCCAACGCAUCGAAGAAAGACCCACCGGGCUUCAUGGAUAACCUCCUUGCCUGCCUCCCCUGCGGCCGCGCGGCCCAAGAGAAAAACGACGCCAGUUAACCGUGCUCCUUCCCCAUGCUAGCACGGGAAGGCUGCAAGGCUACUGCUUGAUUAUACCAUGUGUUUGUUUAAUUACUCAGCGUGUAAGCAUGCCGUUGCUUAAUUACGGAGUUCAAUUUCGUUGUGUACUAGCGAACUUUGGUGAAUUUGCCGUGGCGCAUGUAAUUCUAUCUUGUCGUGAUUUGUGAUGAAAAAUCUUAUUUAUGCA